UACGUAGGGUGCAAGCGUUGUCCCGGAAUUAUUGGGCGUAAAGAGCUCGUAGGCGGUUUGUCGCGUCUGCUGUGAAAACCCGAGGCUCAACCUCGGGCCUGCAGUGGGUACGGGCAGACUAGAGUGCGGUAGGGGAGAUUGGAAUUCCUGGUGUAGCGGUGGAAUGCGCAGAUAUCAGGAGGAACACCAAUGGCGAAGGCAGAUCUCUGGGCCGUAACUGACGCUGAGGAGCGAAAGCAUGGGGAGCGAACAGG
rnacentral:rRNA from 1 species